UAUGUCCCUUUUUACCAAAUGGACUGUGC
rnacentral:piRNA from 1 species